rnacentral:rRNA from 1 species
UACGAAGGGGGCUAGCGUUGCUCGGAAUCACUGGGCGUAAAGCGCACGUAGGCGGAUCUUUAAGUCAGGGGUGAAAUCCUGGAGCUCAACUCCAGAACUGCCUUUGAUACUGGGGAUCUCGAGUCCGGAAGAGGUGAGUGGAACUCCGAGUGUAGAGGUGAAAUUCGUAGAUAUUCGGAAGAACACCAGUGGCGAAGGCGGCUCACUGGUCCGGUACUGACGCUGAGGUGCGAAAGCUAGGGUAGCAAACGGG